GAUGAACGCUGGCGGCGUGCCUAAUACAUGCAAGUCGAGCGAACUGAUUAGAAGCUUGCUUCUAUGACGUUAGCGGCGGACGGGUGAGUAACACGUGGGCAACCUGCCUGUAAGACUGGGAUAACUUCGGGAAACCGAAGCUAAUACCGGAUAGGAUCUUCUCCUUCAUGGGAGAUGAUUGAAAGAUGGUUUCGGCUAUCACUUACAGAUGGGCCCGCGGUGCAUUAGCUAGUUGGUGAGGUAACGGCUCACCAAGGCAACGAUGCAUAGCCGACCUGAGAGGGUGAUCGGCCACACUGGGACUGAGACACGGCCCAGACUCCUACGGGAGGCAGCAGUAGGGAACCUUCCGCAAUGGACGAAAGUCUGACGGAGCAACGCCGCGUGAGUGAUGAAGGCUUUCGGGUCGUAAAACUCUGUUGUUAGGGAAGAACAAGUACGAGAGUAACUGCUCGUACCUUGACGGUACCUAACCAGAAAGCCACGGCUAACUACGUGCCAGCAGCCGCGGUAACAC
rnacentral:rRNA from 1 species